UCGGUGAACUAAAAAGUCUAAAUCUAAUUGAAAGUUAAAGUGCCCAUGAACUCAUUGUUCAUGCACGAGUGAUUUUAUUCAUGUGUCCCUGUAACAAAUAAAAAGAGUCCGUGUACCCGUCUAAAAAGAGUCCGUGUAACACCCGUUAAUGAACUGUUUUUUCUAUACAUCUGCGGGGGACAAAGUCGUACAAGUCAUAUUUAGCCCACUUGAAUCAAGAGGGCCAAGUCAGCUUUUCUCAUCUUUUGGCGUUUGACGUCCACCAUCGUCCGUUAACUUUUACAAAAAUUUCCCCCUCUGAAACUGCUUCGCCAAAUGGAACCAAACUUAGCCUAUAUCAUUCUAAUAGUAUCUAGUUUAAAAC
rnacentral:lncRNA from 1 species